UACGUAGGGUGCAAGCGUUGUCCGGAAUUAUUGGGCGUAAAGAGCUCGUAGGCGGUCUGUCGCGUCGGCUGUGAAAUCCCGGAGCUCAACUCCGGGUCUGCAGUCGAUACGGGCAAACUGGAGUACUGCAGGGGAGACUGGAAUUCCUGGUGUAGCGGUGAAAUGCGCAGAUAUCAGGAGGAACACCGAUGGCGAAGGCAGGUCUCUGGGCAUUAACUGACGCUGAGACGCGAAAGCGUGGGGAGCGAACAGG
rnacentral:rRNA from 1 species